rnacentral:lncRNA from 1 species
GGCAGAAAAAUAAAGAAAAUGAGUGGUCAUAUGCCUAAAAUGGUCAUCCAGAUAAAAAGAUAUGACUUAAAAUGAAACUAUAGAUUUAAAGUCGUGUGAUGGUGUUCUUUAGUGCCACAAACGACAUCGAUGAGCAUCAUGACUCCUCCUUCAGUGGCAGUUUUGUAAUUUUUGGGCCUUUUGACCUAAUUCCUUCCUUAAGACUUUAAAUCGGUCCAUUUUAACUUUACUUUUUUUGUAAUAUAAUGUUCGAUUCUACCUUUUUUGUGCUCGAUACCUAUAAA